CGCCACGAUCCGCUUCGAAGGACACACACGGACGGGGCGCCUCGGCGCGCCCGUCGACACAAUGAUUUCUUUUGGGGAAAGUCUCCGGACACUACGGCAGAGAGUGCCAGCCCUAAGGGUCAGCCCCUGCACGCACCGAACCGCUGGCAAAGACGUCUCGCGAGGGACGGAGCUGAUGAAGGGGAGGGGCGUGCCGGCUUCAGUCACAGCACAGUUAUGCGGAUGGUGCCGCGGAUCCUUCCGCGGCGCUAACUCAACGGAGCUUAUGUUGGGGC
rnacentral:RNase_MRP_RNA from 1 species